rnacentral:lncRNA from 1 species
CCUGGGGGUGGUAGUAGUCCUGGGGGUGGUAGUAGUCUUUAGGGUGGUAGUAGUCUUCAGGGUGGUAGUAGUCUUUAGGGUGGUAGUAGUCUAGGAGUGGUAGUAGUCUAGGGUGGUAGUAGUCUUUAGGGUGGUAGUAGUCUAGGGCGGUAGUAGUCCUGGGGGUGUUAGUAUUCUUUAGGGUGGUAGUAGUCUUCAGGGUGGUAGUAGUCUUCAGGGUGGUAGUAGUCUUGGGGGUGGUAGUAGUCUUUAGGGUGGUAGUAGUCUUUAGGGUGGUAGUAGUCUAGGGUGGUAGUAGUCUUCAGGGUGGUAGUAGUCUUUAGGGUGGUAGUAGUCCUGGGGGUGGUAGUAGUCUUCAGGGUGGUAGUAGUCUUCAGGGUGGUAGUAGUCUUCAGGGUGGUAGUAGUCUUCAGGGUGGUAGUAGUCUUCAGGGUGGUAGUAGUCCUGGGGGUGGUAGUAGUCUUUAGGGUGGUAGUAGUCUUCAGGGUGGUAGUAGUCUUUAGGGUGGUAGUAGUCUAGGGUGGUAGUAGUCUUUAGGGUGGUAGUAGUCUUCAGAGUGGUAGUAGUCUAGGGUGGUAGUAGUCUUUAGGGUGGUAGUAGUCUAGGGCGGUAGUAGUCCUGGGGGUGUUAGUAUUCUUUAGGGUGGUAGUAGUCUUCAGGGUGGUAGUAGUCUUCAGGGUGGUAGUAGUCUUCAG